AGUGAACGCCGGCGGUAGGCCUAACACAUGCAAGUCGAACGGCAGCACAGUAAGAGCUUGCUCUUACGGGUGGCGAGUGGCGGACGGGUGAGGAAUACAUCGGAAUCUACUUUUUCGUGGGGGAUAACGUAGGGAAACUUACGCUAAUACCGCAUACGACCUACGGGUGAAAGCAGGGGAUCUUCGGACCUUGCGCGAUUGAAUGAGCCGAUGUCGGAUUAGCUAGUUGGCGGGGUAAAGGCCCACCAAGGCGACGAUCCGUAGCUGGUCUGAGAGGAUGAUCAGCCACACUGGAACUGAGACACGGUCCAGACUCCUACGGGAGGCAGCAGUGGGGAAUAUUGGACAAUGGGCGCAAGCCUGAUCCAGCCAUACCGCGUGGGUGAAGAAGGCCUUCGGGUUGUAAAGCCCUUUUGUUGGGAAAGAAAAGCAGCAGGUUAAUACCCCGCUGUUCCGACGGUACCCAAAGAAUAAGCACCGGCUAACUUCGUG
rnacentral:rRNA from 1 species